rnacentral:lncRNA from 1 species
CUGCCUGCUGCUGGGUCCUUCCUUGCCUCACCUGGCUGGACUCUGCCAGGUCAGCCUGUCUCUACUUCGGCAUCUCAAAGCGUUAAGGCCGAGCAGCUGAUGCUCUUGAUGCGGGGAUUAACAGAGGCCUCUAUUGGAGCUACUAACCAAAAAAUGAAAAGGAACUAGACCCAGAGAGGAUCAAAUGUGUAAAUGCCAAUUCAGAGAGGUGAGCAAAGCAGGAAGAAAGAAAGAAGGAGGGGAGGUCAAGAUGAGAACUCUGCUGACUCCUGAUUCUCCAAGAAUGGAGAAGAUCAGGGAAAGUCUGAAUGAAGGCCAGCAGGCAGUAUCAGCCGAACCAAGAAGGGCCAUAAAGCUGCAGACCAGGAAAUCUGCCCUCUGAGAGCACAGAAUUUAGAAUGGACAGCAAAUUUAGUAAAAGUAGGUGUUCCAGCUAGAAGAUUUGGAUGAAAAGUGAUUCCAAAAAAAUGAGGCAAUCUCAUCCCGAAACUAUUUAAAACUACUCUCCUCUCUCUUGAUAAACCGUCAGUAGGAAGUGUGUCGUUUAUUCCCUCACUCCACACUGGAUUCAUAUGGGCUGAUAGCAGCAGGAUUAAAAAUUUUUUUCAUCAUGAGUUAAAUCCCUAAGAUUUAGAGUAUUUUGUUUGUCUGAAUGUCUAAGCGGUACAAACCUUAGCAAUCCAUAUUAAAAUGGAGAAUUCCUUCUUUUGGUAUUCACAAGCAUAACAUACAUAAUCCUUUA